GAAAAAUAAAACCCAAGCCUGACACAAGCUGUUUUGUACAAAAUGCUGCGUUAGUUGCACAGCCCCCUGGGAGGUGAAUGAAACUCCACACACCUUGUUGCUGCUUUAUUUUGUUCUAGAGCCCAUUUGCUACAGUCCUUUACCUUGUUUCCAAAGUAAAGAAAUCUGCAUCUUGAGUUCAGAUCUUAUCCUCCUUGGAUAAGAAAAGAAAAAAAUGUGAUCUUGGCACCAUCUGACAGAAAGAUGAAUACAAUGGGACAAAUAAGAUACUUUCAUGGGAAGUUGGCAGCAUUUAACUAAUGUUUAAACUUUGUGGUUCUCUAAGCCAUGGACAGAGCUGAAGUUAAUGAAGAUCUGUGGAGGAAAGACUUCUGCAGGUCUGCACAUAGAACACUGUGACUCUUUGUUCAGAGGCAAUGGUGACAAAGGACAGAAGGUCACUUCCCACCCACUGGGUAACAUAUCCUGUCUGCUGGCUUCCUCCCCUUCCAGGCUCUGGGCUGAGCAAGGCUGAUGACAGGUGAGACUUGCUAUGACUUCAGAGAGCCCUUGGGCCUGUUGGGUCCCACCUGUCCUCUGGGAGCCUCCUUGGGCCACAUGCAUAGGUAGAGGCCCCAGACCGCGAGUCUGUCCUGAGCUCCCCGUCCUGUGAAAGCUGAUUAACUACACUGUGGAGAAGUGAAGACUCCUUGCUAGGAGGCCCCCCUCUGUCAGGGACUCCAGGUGGCCUCCCUCUUUCUGGGCUCUGGGAGCUAGAGUAGAAGGGAGACUCUGGGGUGGGGCCACCAGGAGUCAAUGGGCCCCUAACUUCUUUCCUCUGGGCCUGUAGACGCUGGUGGGACACCAGGGGCUCCUUGGUCACUGCACCAUCUACAGACAGCUCUGCCCCCUGCCUCCUUUCCCUGCGUCCGACACUAGGGGCACAGUGUCCCACUCAGACAGUGAGGUGACUGCACACAAAGACAUGCCCCUGCCCAUUCCCUGGCAGAGGUGGGUACUCUGAGCAGGCUGUCCUCUUCUCCAGGGUGGAGGUGGACUGGCCUUUGGAGGCCUCCAUGCUCCACACCGCACACGCUUAGAGCUGAGAGUGUGUGGUCCUCAUCCUCGCCACUGCUCCAGAGCACGAGAAGGACAGAGAACGGGCGACAGUCCUGGCCCAUCUCAUUACAGCCCAUCCGGAAGAGGAGGGGCU
ensembl:lncRNA